GUUGCCUGUAAUAGCUCCGUUUUCAGCAUGAUUGGGAAUGGUAGGGAGAUCUGCCCCAUGCCUGGGGGGACAGGAGUGUGCAGGAUCCCUUUGGUUGACAUGCAGGAUGGUGUGCAGAAGGCGUACAUUGGUAUCACCUGCAGGCGGUUGAGGGAGAGGCUUGGACAGCAUCUCCAUGAUGGUGCGUCUGGGAGGGCGUCUGCUGCGCUCGGCGGCACGGCGCUUCAGAGGAGCAUCGACGUCCUGUGGAGCCGGGCCGCUGUUUUAGAGAGUAACAUCGGGAGAAACUAUAUUUGCGAAGGGUGGCAC
rnacentral:lncRNA from 1 species